GCUGGGUUAGCUCAGUGGUAGAGCGUUCCUCUGGUAUGGGAAAGGUCCGGGGUUCAAUCCCCCGACUCAGCUC
rnacentral:tRNA from 1 species